ensembl:lincRNA
CACGUUCACCGCCUUUUAAAGGCCGGCUUUGGCUCGACCGGAUUUCUGGAAUUUUCUGGGGGUACUGACGCUGGGCAGUUUUUCAUUUUCUUGGCCUCGGCCGUGACAUUCCAUGCUGACAUGGCUGCGUCUGCCUGCUGUGUGUCUGGAAUGUUCCUGGCGUUUUCCGUGGGUGUCUGCUCACCCAGCGUUGCGCAGAUGGCUUCCGAGAGGAGAAACCGGGCCCCAGAGCAGGGGGGGAGAGGAGGUGGCGCCCCUGGGAGGGAACCCGGGGCCUGCCCACGCAGCCGGCGAAUCACUACGAUGCUUCACCCAGACCAAUGCACCUCACAUCAGAGAGGAAGACACAUGUGUGAUUCAUUUUGUCGAGCCUCAAGUCUCAGGAUUUACCUAAGGACCCAGGAAUGUUGUGAGUCUUGCCUUUCUUGCAGCUGGCUCUGUUACUCAGAUGUGCUUUGCCAGAUGAGGACAAAUGACUGUCAGCAACACUACAAAUUGCUCUCCCCAGCUCCAAAUCCAGAGGAAAGAAGAAGACACUGCUGUCUGCUAAGUUGGCUCACAUUGGCUGUGAACCACUGGUGAACAAAUCAUGUGGCUCUUAUUGGCUGGGCCCAGCGCAUGUGCCCUGGAGACUGGGGUAUGGUCAGUCUUACCUAAACUGCAAGGAGUGAGGGGGAGGGUUGUUCAUUUUUUAAGUUUUUUUUCUCUUGUUUUUGUUUUUUUAAGAUUUUAUUUAUUUGAGAGAGAGGAAACAUGAGAAGGAGGAGAGUCAGAGGGAGAAGCAGGGAUCCCAAUGUAGGGCUGUAUCCCAAGACCCUGGGAUCAUGACCUGAGCCAAAGGCAGAUGCUUAAACCUACCCAAACUCCCCUUAAGAAAGUAUCCUAAUUUUGCUCUUUAAAGUCAGAAAUGUCAGUAGCUUUGGUUUUUGCCAAUGCAGUGUACUUUAGCAAACCGAUUGACCCUUUGGUAGUUUUUGGUAACUUACAGGUGUGCCAAACCUAUAGUUAGAUCAAGGAUUCUUUCCCUAUUUACAAGAUGAAUACAUUGAGACACACAGUGGUUGUGACUUGCUCAACAUUACAUGCUUAAUCUUUGGGCCACUUAAACACAGAAUCUAAAUUUCCUGUCUUCCCACAGAAUGUUCUGUACCCAAUCACAAUUUAAGAUUGGAUUUGCACAUACAAAGUGUAGAGAAUAAUUGAGACAAUUAUCCAAAUCAUUAAAACCUAAAAUAGCUACAUAAUUGAACUCAAUGUCUCCACUUUACAUUGGACCUCUGGAAACAGCCAAAGACAUGCUACCCCAAUCUUGCCAUUGUGUUGUUUUAAGCGCUACUGAUGAUGGCGGGUAUAUAUUUUUAAAUGGUUGGUUCCAUUUCUUGAAGCAUUUUGUAUUAUGGGCCAAAUUCCUCCUGCUUUUUAACUAAUGGAAAUGAAAAUGAAGUUCCAGCAAAAAUAAUAAACUCUUGACAGGAGGAGAAUUGUCAUAGUUAUGACUGAUACAUUUCAGACAUGUAUAGAAACAUACUACAAACUUGAAGGUAAGGUUACUUAGUAAGUGUAUACUUUGUGCUCUGGUGUCAUACUGAUUUCAAAGUGAUUCUUUGCCAUUGUUCUAUCUGCUUGAAACACGUUUACUUGUCUUGAAGAUUGGAAUUAUACUCAAAUACUUAUAGAAAUAAUAAUAAAUAGUAAUAAAAGUAAUAGGGGCACCUGGUUGGCUCAGUUGGUUAAGUGUCUGACUCUUGAUUUGGGCUCAGGUCAUGGUCUCAGGGUCCUGAAAUUGAGCCCUGCCUUGGGCUCUGUGCUGGGUAUGGAGCCUGAUUAAGAUUCUCUCCCUCUCCCUCUGCCCCUCCCUCCACUGGCUCGCACAUGCUCUAAAUAAAUAAAUAAAUAAAUAAAUAAAGUCUUAAAAAGGAAAAAAAAAAAACCACUAGUAAUAAAGAGGAAUCUAAAAAAAUUCUGGCAAUAGGAUAAGCUCCAAUCCAAACUCAAAAGUAAAAUGUUAUUGUUUCUGGCCUUUUCUCUGUGUGGUGGCUGAUAUUUAGGGUAGAGAGUGGGAGCUUGAAUUGGCCCGGUUUAUAUAGAAAUUUAUUACAUUCAUAAUUGUGUUAUGUUGGGGAUCCUCCCCUCUUUCAAGUAUUUUUAAAGUCCCAUUGAGGAGCUGGUCACUGAGGAUUCUUUCACUUCCGUGUACUGCUGCAGGCAGGUCCCACGGAGUCCUCCACACUGCCAUCCGCCUACAAACCGCAGGGCCUCCGCUGAGCAUGAAGGCCUCUUGUGCACGUUAGCAGCCCAAACUGUGAAUGUCAGACCCACAUAAAGAGCACCACAGUGGGUUUUUUGUUGUCUUUUUCUUUUUUUAAUGAUUUUAUUUAUUUAUCUGACAGAGAUCACAAGUAGGCAGACGCAGGUAGAGAGAGGAAGGGAAGCAGGCUCCCUGCGGAGCUGAGAGCCCAAAUGGGGGCUCGAUCCCAGGAUCCCGAGAUCAUGACUUGAGCUGAAGGCAGAGGCUUAACCCACUGAGCCACCCAGGCGCCCCACCAUAGUGUUUUCUGACCCCUAUUUAAAUGUGUAUGAGUGGUGACUGUCUAGAAAAAGAGCCAAGUAUAUGAACAUCUCACAUACUUAAAGUAGAAAGAGCUCUCGGUUUUAAUGGAAGUGCUUCUAAAAGAACUGAAGAAAAGUUUUAGUUUGCUUGAUGUUGACAAACACACCAGUUUGGAAAAAAUGGUUUGGGGUAUAUGAUUGGCUCCCAGCUUGGAUUUUGAGUUUCCCUGUAGCGUGGGUCAUGAAACAAACAGGGGAAAGAUCAAGACUUUGUAGAAAAUCUUGAACAGGCAUUCAAAGAAAGGCCGUAAGUUUACACUAUCCUGGCAAGAUCCAUAUGACGUACUAUUGACAUUAUAUAGUUGGGAAUUAGAGAGGGGCAGGACCUUAACCAUGGGGUCCUUGUGGGAGAGACAGUUGGAGAGAAA